rnacentral:rRNA from 1 species
GUAUGCCUUAGUACGGCGAGUGAAGCGGCAAAAGCUCAAAUUUGAAAUCUGGCGUCUUCGACGUCCGAGUUGUAAUUUGAAGAAGGCGACUUUGUAGCUGGUCCUUGUCUAUGUUCCUUGGAACAGGACGUCAUAGAGGGUGAGAAUCCCGUGUGGCGAGGAUCCCAGUUAUUUGUAAAGUGCUUUCGACGAGUCGAGUUGUUUGGGAAUU